CGGACGGGUGAGUAACGCGUGAGAAUCUGCCUAGAGGAUGGGGACAACCACGGGAAACUGUGGCUAAUACCCAAUGAGCGGAGACGUUAAAGAUUUAUCGCCUCUAGAGGAGCUCGCGUCUGAUUAGCUAGUUGGUGGGGUAAAAGCCUACCAAGGCGACGAUCAGUAGCUGGUCUGAGAGGACAACCAGCCACACUGGGACUGAGACACGGCCCAGACUCCUACGGGAGGCAGCAGUGGGGAAUUUUCCGCAAUGGGCGAAAGCCUGACGGAGCAAUACCGCGUGAGGGAGGAAGGCUCUUGGGUCGUAAACCUCUUUUCUCAGGGAAGAAGAAAGUGACGGUACCUGAGGAAUCAGCCUCGGCUAACUCCGUGCCAGCAGCCGCGGUAAUACGGAGGAGGCAAGCGUUAUCCGGAAUUAUUGGGCGUAAAGCGUCCGUAGGUGGCUCUUCAAGUCUGCUGUCAAAGAGUGGGGCUUAACUCCAGAAAGGCAGUGGAAACUGAAAGGCUAGAGAUCCGUAGGGGUAGAGGGAAUUCCCGGUGUAGCGGUGAAAUGCGUAGAGAUCGGGAAGAACAUCGGUGGCGAAAGCGCUCUACUGGACGGUAUCUGACACUGAGGGACGAAAGCUAGGGGAGCGAAUGGGAUUAGAUACCCCAGUAGUC
rnacentral:rRNA from 1 species